rnacentral:misc_RNA from 1 species
GAUGAAGAACGCAGCGAAAUGCGAUAAGUAAUGUGAAUUGCAGAAUUCAGUGAAUCAUCGAAUCUUUGAACGCACCUUGCGCUCUUUGGUAUUCCGAAGAGCAUGCCUGUUUGAGUGUCAUGAAAAUAUCAACCUUGACUUGGGUUUUGUGCUCUAGUCUCGGCUUGGAAUUGGGUGCUUGCCGCUUUUACGAGCGGCUCACCUUAAAUGUAUUAGCUGGAUCUGUCUUUGAGACUUGGUUUGACUUGGCGUAAUAAGUAUUUCGCUAAGGACAUUCUUCGGAGUGGCCUCGUUUCUAGGACGCUUGUCCGCUUUCCAAUACAAGUUCCACCUCGUGGACAUGACUUUUUAUUAUCUGGCCUCAAAUCAGGUAGGACUACCCGCUGAACUUAAGCAUAUCAAUAAGCGGGAGGA